AGUGAACGCUGGCGGUAGGCCUAACACAUGCAAGUCGAACGGCAGCACAGAGGAGCUUGCUCCUUGGGUGGCGAGUGGCGGACGGGUGAGGAAUACAUCGGAAUCUACUCUGUCGUGGGGGAUAACGUAGGGAAACUUACGCUAAUACCGCAUACGACCUACGGGCGAAAGCAGGGGAUCUUCGGACCUUGCGCGAUUGAAUGAGCCGAUGUCGGAUUAGCUAGUUGGCGGGGUAAAGGCCCACCAAGGCGACGAUCCGUAGCUGGUCUGAGAGGAUGAUCAGCCACACUGGAACUGAGACACGGUCCAGACUCCUACGGGAGGCAGCAGUGGGGAAUUUUGGACAAGGGGGGCAACCCUGAUCCAGCCAUUCCGCGUGUGCGAUGAAGGCCUUCGGGUUGUAAAGCACUUUUGGCAGGAAAGAAAUCGCACGGAUUAAUACUCUGUGUGGAUGACGGUACCUGCAGAAUAAGCACCGGCUAACUACGUGCCAGCCGCCGCCGUAA
rnacentral:rRNA from 1 species